UACGUAGGGUGCGAGCGUUGUCCGGAAUUACUGGGCGGAAAGGGCUCGUAGGCGGUUUGUCGCGUCGGGAGUGAAAACACGGGGCUUAACCCCGUGCCUGCUUCCGAUACGGGCAGACUAGAGGUAUGCAGGGGAGAACGGAAUUCCUGGUGUAGCGGUGAAAUGCGCAGAUAUCAGGAGGAACACCGGUGGCGAAGGCGGUUCUCUGGGAAUAUCCUGACGCUGAGGAGCGAAAGUGUGGGGAGCGAACAGG
rnacentral:rRNA from 1 species